UACAGAGGUCUCAAGCGUUGUUCGGAUUCAUUGGGCGUAAAGGGUGCGUAGGUGGCGCCGUAAGUCAGGUGUGAAAUCUCCGAGCUUAACUCGGAAACGGUCAACUGAUACUGUGCGGCUAGAGUGAGCGGAAGGGGCAACUUGGGAAUUCUUGGUGGUAGCGGUGAAAUGCGUAGAUAUCAAGAGGGAACACCUGGCGGCGAAGGCGGGUUGCUGGGCCGAUAACUGACGCU
rnacentral:rRNA from 1 species